GAGCUUGCAUAAUUGAAGAUCCUCACAUGGAGUUGAAACCUGAUGGAAAAGCUUCAGAUCCAUGGAGUCUCUGCUCUGUCGAACAAGUCAAAAUAAUGAAGUGUUUUCUUACCGUUCUUCCCAUGUGGUCCACCUGUAUUAUGCUUCUUGUGUCGUUGAGUCAGCCACUUUCGAUAUAUCAACUACUGACCGUGGAUAGACACAUUACCCCUCAGUUUGAAAUCCCAGCAGGAUCAUUUGGCAUGAUUACCCUUCUUUCUUUGACAAUCUGGUUUGCUUUUUACGAUCGUGCAUUGGUGCCUUUACUGUCAAGGUAUACUGGACUGCCGACUGGGAUAAGUCCAUUUUCCAAAAUGGGGAUUGGCUUAAUUGUGGGCAUUGUGGCUACGGUACUUUCAGCUAUUACAGAAACCAUACGACGCAAUAAGGCAAUCAAUGCAGGGUUUGAGGAUGACCCGAAUGCUGUGUUAAACAUGUCCUCUAUGUGGUUUGUUCCACAGUUGGCACUAUAUGGGGUGGCUGAGGCUUUGAAUGUGGUUGGACAGAUUGAGUUCAUAUACAGUCAAUUUCCAAAAACCAUGUCCAGUUUUGCAGCAGCUCUUUACACGUUUGGCCUUGCGCUUGCCAACUUAAUUAACAGUCUCUUGGUGAGCGUGGUGGAUAGUAUUACCUCAACCGGAGGCAAGACAAGCUGGCUCGCAACCAACAUAAACAGAGGUCAUCUAGAUUACUACUGCUGGCUAAUGACUUCAUUAUGUGUGAUUAACUUCCUCUAUUUUUUAGCCGUUUGUCAGUUUACUGAUCAGCAUCACCAUGAUGGUAGGAGUAGCUUAUUUCCUGAGGCAGAAGAGGAACACACCGCGAAUAAGCGUUUCCAUGGUGCUUAAUUGUAACAAUCAAGUGUGUACGCUAUUAAAUGUUUGGUUAGAUUAAAUGUAUUCAAAAUUAACUUGUUUUCCUCAAAUUUAAGGAAAAUGACUUCCAUUCAAAAAUUAAGGAAAACAUUUUCCAAAACUCUACUUCAUUGUUAAAUAUUUUUUUUCUUAAAAACUUUCUCAGGACCUCCAUAAUAAGUUGGAGAACCAUCACGUAUACUCACACCAUUUUUUAACGCAUAUUUUCGCAUUUGCAGGCCAUCUUUUAGGAAUUAUCAAAAUUUCUUGAUUUUUCGUGUGUAUUAACCCAUGGAUGUGGCUCCCCGGAGCACCUAAAAUUUUCCUGAAUUCUUUUUAUGAGGAACUGUCUAAUGAGUUGGGGAACCAUUAUGUAUACUCACAACAUUUUUUUAACACAUAUUUUUGUAUCUAUAUGCCAUUUUUAGAAGUUAUCCAAAUUUCUCGAUUUUUCGUAUGUAUUAGUCCAUAGAUCUGAUUUCCCAGGGCAACCAAAAAAAAUUUCUGAAAAAACUUAUUAAGGAACUCUGUAAUGAGUUGGUAAACCAUCACACAUACUCACACAAUUAUAUAACGCAUGUUUUUGCAUACAUAGACUAUUUUUUAGGAAUUACCCAAAUUUCUCAGUUUUUCAUGUGUAUUAGUCCAUGGAUCUAGCUCCUCGGAGCACCCAAUUUUUUUUCCAGAAAAAACUUUAUGAGAACCUUCGUAAUGAGUUGGGGAACCAUCACGCCUACUCACACCAUUUUUUACAAAUAUAUUUCCAUAGUUACAUGCCAUUUUUUAGAAAUUACCCAAAUUUCACAGUUUUUCGUGUGUAUGCCAAUGGAUAUGACUCCAUAAAGCAACCAAAACUUUUUUUCUUAAAAACUUUAUAAGAACCUCCGUAAUGAGUUGGGGAACCAUCACGUAUAGUCACAUCAUUUUUACGUAUAUUUUUGAAUUUACAUGUCAUUUUCAGGAAUUACCCAAAUUUCUUGAUUUUUCAUGUGUAUUAGCCCAUUGAUUUGGCUCCCAAGAGCACCCACUAAAAUUUUUUGAAAAAACUUUAUGAGGACCUCCGUAAUGAGUUGGGGAACCAUCACAUAUACUCACACAAUUUUUUUAACGCAUAUUUUCACAUUUACAUGCCAUUGUUUAGAAAUUACCAAAAUUUCUUAGUUUUUUGUGUAUAUUAGCCCAUGGAUCUAACUCCCCGGAGCACCCAAUUUUUUUUUCUUAAAGAACUUUAUGAAGACCUCCGUAAUAAGUUGGGGAACCAUCACGUAUACUCACAUCAUUUUUGAACGCAUAUAUUCGCAUUUACAGGUUAUAUUUUAGGAAUUAUCCAAAUUCUUUGGUUUUUCAUGUGUAUUAGCCCAUGAAUAUGGUUCUCCGGAGCACCCAAAAAUUUUGUCUGAAAAAACUUUAUGAUGACCUCCAUAAUGAGUCGAGGGAUCAUCACGUAUACUAACACCAUUUUUAACACAUAUUUUUGCAUUUACAGGUCAAUUUUUAGGAAUUAUCCAAAUUUCUUGAUUUUUCGUGUGUAUUAGCCCAUGGAUGUAGCUCCCUAGAGCACCUAAUUUGUUUUCCAUAAAAAACUUUAUGAGGACCUCCUUAAUGAGUUGGGGAACCAUCACGUAUACUCACAUCAUUUUUAACGCAUAUUUUCGCAUUUACAAGUUUUUUUUCUUUAACUACUCAAAUUUUUUGGUUUUUCGUGUGUAGUAGCCCAUGAAUCUCGCUCUUCGGAGCACCCUAAAUAUUUUUCUUAAAAAACUUUACGAGGACCUCCGUAAAUUAGUUGGGGAACCAUCACGUAUACUCACACAAUUUUUAACGCAUAUUUCGCAUUUACAAGUAAUUUUUAAGGAAUUACCCAUAUUCAUCGGUUUUUCAUGUGUAUUAGCCCAUGGAUCUGGCUCUUCGGAGCACCCAAAAUUAUUUUCUGAAAAAAAUUUAUGAGGACCUUCGUAAUGAGUUGGGAGACCAUCACGUAUACUCACACCAUUUCUUAACAUAUAUUUUCUCAUUUACAGGUAAUUCUUUUAGAAAUUACCAAAAUUUCUUAGUUUUCGUGUGUAUUAGCCUAUGGAUAUGGCUCUUUGGAGCACUAAUUUUUUUUCCUGAAUAAACUUUAUGAGGACCUUAGUAACAAGUUGGGGAACCAUCACGUAUACUUACAUCAUUUUUGUUACACAUAUUGUCGUAUUUACAUCUAACUUUUUAGGAAUUAUUCAAAUUUCUCGAUUUUUUAUAUGUAUUAACACAUAGAUCUGACUCUUUGAAGCACCAAAAAAAAUUUUGAUUUUUUUAAUAAUGACCUCAGUAAUGAGUUGGGGAAUAUCACAUAUAAUCACACUAAUUUUAACGCAUAUUUUUUGUAUUUACGUGUCAUUUUUUAGGAGCUAUUGCUGAAUUCCUCAAUUUUUGUGUGUAUUACCUCAUUGAUCUGGCUCUCCAGAGAUCCCAAAUUUUUUCUGAAAAAAACUUUAUGAUGACUUCUGUAAUGAGUUGGGGAACCAUCACGUACUCAUACCAUUGAUCUGGCUCUUCGAAGCACCCUAAAUAUUUUUCUUAAAAAACUUUAUGAGGACCUCUGUAAAUCAGUUGGGGAAUCAUCAUAUAUACUCAUACUAUUUUUAACGCAUAUUUUCGCAUUUAGAAGUAAUUUCUAAGGAAUUAUCCAAAUUUCUCAGUUUUUCGUGUGUAUUAACCCAUGAAUCUGGCACCCUGGAGCACCCAAAAAAAAUUUCUGAAAAUUUUUAUGAGGACCUCCGUAAUGAUUUGUGGAACCAUCACGUAUACUCAUACAAUUUUUUACGCAUAUUUUUGCAUUUACAAGCCAUUUUAUAGGAAUUACCCAAAUUUCUCUUUUUUUUCGUGUAUAGCCCAUGGAUAUGGCUCCUCGGAGCCACCAAAUUUUUUUUCUAAAUUUUUUUUAUGAGGAUCUACGAAAUGAGUUUGGGAACCAUAACAUAUACUUACAUUAUUUUUAAUGCAUAUUUUUGUAUUUACAUGCCAUUUUUUAGGAAUUACCCAAAUUCCUCAAUUUUUCGUGUGUAUAAUUAUCCCAUGUAUCUUGUUCUCCGGAGCACUCAAAUAAAAAAACUUUAUAAGGAUAUCCACAAUGAGUUGGGGAAUCAUCACGUAUAUUCAACCCAUUUUUAACGCAUAUUUUUGCAUUUACAUGCCAUUUUUUAGGAAUUACUCAAAUUCCUCAAUUUUUUUUGUGUAUUAGCCUACCUAGAUUUUUUUUCCUGAAAAAACUUUAUGACCUCCGUAAUGAGUUGGAGAACCACCACAUAAACUCACAUAAUUUUUUAACACAUAUUUUCGCAUUUAUAGGCUAUUUUUUAGAAAUUCUCCAAAUUCCUCAAUUUUUCGUGUGUAUUACCCCAUAGAUCUGGCUCAUCGAAGCUCCCAAAGUUUUUUUCUGAAGAAACAUUAUGAGGACCUCCGUAAUGAGUAGGGAAACCAUCAUGUAUCCUCACUUCAUUUUUAACGUAUAUUUUCACAUUUAUAUGCCAUUUUUUAGGAAUUACCUGAAUUCCUCAGUUUUUCUUGUGUAUUAGUCAAUGGAUCUGGCUAUUCGGAGUAGCCAAAAAAAAUUCUGAAUUUUUUUUAUGGGGAUAUCUGUAAUGAGUUUGAGAACCAUAACGUACACUUACAUUAUUUUUAAGACAUAUUUUUCUAUUUACUUACCAUUUUUUAAGAAUUACCCAAAUUUAUCGAUUUUUCGUGUGUAUUAGAUAUGGCUGGCAACGGAACCGGAACCGAGACGAUCGAUCCGGGACGGACCGGAACCGGAACGAAACCGGUAAUUCCGGGAAAAAUAUGGCAUACCUGUCCUGGACCGGACCGGAAAUCGGGUCCCAACGGAUAUAAUUUUUUUUAAAAAAAUUUAUUAAAAUUAAAAAAUUAGGAACAUUAAUCAAAUAAUAUUAAAACUUUUAUAAUUUUAAAGUUAAAAAUUUAUACUUUUAAAGUUUUAAAUACAAACUUUCAAACUUUAAAAGUAUAGAAAUUUAAAUUUCACACUUUAAAAGUUUGAAAAUUUAAAUAUUUAAAUUCAAACUUUAAAACUAUAAAAGUUUAAAUUUCACACUUAAAAAGUUUGAAAUUUAAAUUCAAACUUUAAAACUAUAAAAGUUUAAAUUUCACACUUAAAAAGUUUGAAAUUUAAAUUCAAACUUUAAAACUAUAAAAGUUUAAAUUUCACACUUAAAAAGUUUGAAAUUUAAAUUCAAACUUUAAAACUAUAAAAGUUUAAAUUUCACACUUAAAAAGUUUGAAAUUUAAAUUCAAACUUUAAAACUAUAAAAGUUUAAAUUUCACACUUAAAAAGUUUGAAAUUUAAAUUCAAACUUUAAAACUAUAAAAGUUUAAAUUUCACACUUAAAAAGUUUGAAAUUUAAAUUCAAACUUUAAAACUAUAAAAGUUUAAAUUUCACACUUAAAAAGUUUGAAAUUUAAAUUCAAACUUUAAAACUAUAAAAGUUUAAAUUUCACCUUUUAAAAGUUUGAAAAUUUAAAUUCAAAUUUCAAACUUUAAAACUAUAAAAGUUUAAAUUUCACCCUUUAAAAGUUUAAAAAUUGAAAUUCAAACUUUAAAACUAUAAAAAUUUAUGAGGAGCUCCGAAAUUUUUUCGUGUAUAUUAGCCCAUAUAUCUAGUUCUCUGGAGCACCCAUAAUUUUUUUCUGAAAAAACAUUUUGAAGACUUUCGUAAUGAGUAGGGAAACCAUUACAUAUACUCAAACCAUUUUUAACACAUAUUUUUGUAUUUACAUGCCAAUUUUUAAAAAUUACACAAUUUUUUUGAUUUUUCUUAUGUAUUAGCCCAUGGAUCUGGCUCCUAAGAGCACCCACUAAUUUUUUCUAGAAAAACCUUAAUGAGGACCUCCGUAAUGAGUUGGAGAACCAUCACGUAUGCUCACAUCAUUUUAAACGCAUAUUUUCGCAUUUACAUGCUAUUUAUUAGGAAUUACGUAAAUUUCUUAGUUUUUCGUGUGUAUUAGCUCAUGGAUCUGGCUCCUCGGAGCACCCAAAUUUUUUUCUAAAAAAACUUUAUGAGGACCCCCUUAAUAAAUUUGGGAACCGUCAUGUAUACUAUCACCAUUUUUAACACAUAUUUUUGCAUUUACAGAACAUUUUUAGGAAUUACCUAAAUUUCUUGAUUUUUCGUAUGUAUUAUCCCAUGGAUCUGGUUUCUCGGAGCACCCAAAAUUAUUUUCUAAUUUUUUUUUGAGAAUCUCCGCAAUGAGUUGGGGAACCAUCACGUAUACUCACACCACUUUUUUAACGCAUAUUUAUGCUUAUAUAUGUCAUCUUUUAGGAAUUACCCAAAUUCCUCAAUUUUUCAUGUCUAUUUAGCACAUGGAUCAGGCUUCCCGGAGCACCCAAAAGUUUUUUCUGAAAAAACGUUGUAAGUACCUCCGUAAUGAGUUAGGGAACCAUCACGUAUACUCACACCAUAUUUUAAUACAUAUUUUCGCAUUUACAUGUCAUUUUUUAUGAACUACCCAAAUUUUUGGUUUCUCGUGUGUAUUACCCAUGGAUUUGGCUCCUCGGAGCACCAAUUUUUUUUUUUUGAAAAAACUUUAUGAGGAUCUCUGUAAUGAGUUGGGGAACCAUCAUGUAUACUUACACCAUUUUAGUGCAUAUUUUCGCAUUUACAGGCCAAUUAUUCGAAAUUACCCAAAUUCCUCUGUUUUUCGUGUAUAUUAGCCAAUAGAUUUGACUCUCCCGAGCACCCAAAAGUGUUAUUUUGAAAAAAAAUAUAUGAGGACCUCUGUAAUGAAUUGGGGAACAAUCACGUAUACUCACACUAUUUUUAACGCAUAUUUUUGCAUUCACUGGCCAUUUUUUUGGAAUUACCCAAUUUUUUUUCAGUUUUUCGUGUGUAUUAGUCCAUGGAUCUGGCUUCUCGGAGCACUCGAUUUUUUUUUUUUGAAAGAACUUUACGAGGACCUCCAUAAUAAGUUGGGGAACCAUCAUGUAUACUAACACCAUUUUAACGCAUAUUUUCUCAUUUACAGGUCAUUUUUUAGGAAUUACCCAAAAAUAUGUUUUGACAUUUGAUCAAUGAAUGAGAAAUAUUUCUUGAUAUUUGUUUGGUAAAUGAAAAAUAUUUUACAAGUAAUAAUAAUUUUAGCAAAUGGAAGAGUUUUUUGAUAAAGAUUUUGAGUACUGUAGAUUGAUAUUGCAUAAGUAUUUGUUGGAACCAGUAAUAUGAAAUUAAAACUCUUAACACAUUUCUAUAAAAAUAACUUCCGUAAUAUUAAUAUUAACUCUUGUAAUAUUUCAGGUGAAGGGAAGUCACAAGAAAUACAAAUGAUUCAGACAUAAAGCAUAGCGUUCACACUUGAUUGUUACAAUUAAGCGCCAUGGAAACGCUUAUUCACGGAGUGUUCCUCUUCUACCUCAGGAAAUAAGCUACUCUUACCAUCACGGUGAUGCUGAUCAGUAAACCGACAAACGGCUAGAAAAUAGAGGAAGUUAAUCACACAUAAGAAAGUCAUUAGCCAGCAGUAGUAAUCUAGAUGACCUCUGUUUAUGUUGGUCGCGAGCCAGCUUGUCUUGCCUCCGGUUGAGGUAAUACUAUCCACCAUGCUCACCAAGAGACUGUUAAUUAAGUUGGCAAGCGCAAGGCCAAAAGUGUAAAGAGCUGCUGCAAAGCUGGACAUGGUUUUUGGAAAUAGACUGUAUAUGAACUCAAUCUGUCCAACCGCAUUCAAAGCCUCAGCCACCCCGUAUAGUGCCAACUGUGGUACAAACCACAUAGAGGACAUGUUUAACACAACGUUCGGGUCAUCCUCAAACCCUGCAUUGAUUGCCUUAUUUCGUCGUAUGGUUUCUGUUAUAGCUGAAAGUGCCGUAGCCACAAUGCCCAGAAAUAAGCCAAUCCCCAUUCUGGAAAAUGGACUUAUCCCAGUCGGCAGUCCAGUAUACCUUGACAGUAAAGGCACCAAUGCACGAUCAUAAAAAGCAAUCCAGAUUGUCAAAGAAAGAACGGUAAUCAUGCCGAAUGAUCCUGCUGGGAUUUCAAACUGAUGGGUAAUGUGUCUAUCCACGGUCAGUAGUUGAUAUAUCGAAAGUGGCUGACUGAACGAUACAAGAAGCAUAAUACAGGUGGACCACAUGGGAAGAACUGUAAGAAAACACUUUAUUAUUUUGACUUGUUCCACAGAGCAGAGACUCCAUGGAUCUGAAGCUUUUCCAUCAGGUUUCAACUCCAUGUGAGGAUCUUCAAUUAUGCAAGCUCUAUUCAAACACCUAUAAUAUAAUAUAAUAUACAAUGAAUCAUCAUUCCCUUUAAUAUACAUCAAACGAAAACAAGUAUAAGAUGGGUAAACGAACAUGAAUGGAUGUUGAAGAUGUCUAUACCAUUGAGGAAAAGAUGGAGGCGCGUAUACCUGAAGUCUGUCGAUGGUUCGAGGAGCUUUGAUUCAGGUGUUUUAUAGUAGCAGUCAUCAUUAUAAUUCAACUGAACAUUGAUAUGUCUUUUUCUGAAGGCUGCGACUGCUACUUGAAACAAUCCAGUGAACAAACUCCCUUCAGGUUUUGCUUUGAUAUAAUGAGGAGAUCCGAUCAAGAAAACAGAAACAGAUAAAACCAUGAGCAAAGCAGGGACACCAAACCCAACUUGCCAACCAAAAUGAUCUUGGAUAUAAACAAUUAGAGUAACUGCAAGAACAAUUGAAACUCCUACACUGGCAUAGAACCAGUUGAAAUAGCUAUCAAUAAGCCUCUCGUUAUCUAGAUUUUCUUUGUUCUCCAAUUGGUCGGCACCCAAUGCUAUAGAACAAGGUCUAACAAAACCAGCACCAAUGGAAAUAAGCCCAAAAGAACACAAAAUUGCAGCAAGUUGGGCUGCUGUUGUUCCAUUACAAUCAAGUUGAUCCUGACCGCAGGGUAACGGCCUGAGUUGUGGAAAUAUUGUUGUGAGCCAAAGAACAAGCAUUCCCUGUUGAAAGUGAAGGCAAAAAAAUGACAACUCGAAUAAAGUUGUAUAACAUAAGAGAGUUUUAAGUAUGUCAAAUUUUUAAUCUUUAGAACAUUUAAAUAGCAAAGCUAAAUAGGACAAAUUGAAAACAAGAAUAUAGGCAAUAAAGUGAACUUACAAUUAGACUAGAGAUGGUUCCAAUAGCCACAGCCCUAAACCUUCCAAUGAAAGAAUCAGAAAUAAAAGCUCCCAAAAUAGACAAUACAUUUGAAAUUGCUGACCAUAAAUUAAUCAAAACUGAAGCACGAGCAGCAUCCAUAUUGUAAAAUUUUGUUAUGUAGAUUAUCAUAUUUGGUUGCAACCCAAAACUUGCCAAUCUCUCACAUGAUUCAUUCACUACAAUACCAACACGAGGAAUCAAUUAAACAACUUACAAAGAAAGAGUUUAAAAAAAAACAGAGAAAUUAUUACACAUACCUAUGAUGAAAGGAAUGGUUUUUAAACCUCCCUUUGUUGAAUUUUGUGAGUGAUUCAGUAAAAACUCUUCUUCUUGUUCAGUGUUAUUCCCCAUUUUUUUCAAAUUUUUUUUGUUACUCCAAUCAGAGUGAAACAAAGAAAGGAAUUUUGAGUGUGAAUCUCCCAACAGAAAAGAUGCAUAGUACAUAGAGGAGUCUAAAUGGAGUGACAAAAAGUGUAUAUAAACAGACUAAAGUUUCAUAGUGGAAGUUUCUUUUUUUCGUCCAUUUCAAAAAAAAUGAAAUCCACCCCCCUAACCCAUCUUUUUUAAUUUCAUUUUUUUUACUUUUCAUAUUCAAUACGACAGGAUUAAAGGAUACUUUGAUAUAUCUUUAUUUUAAGAUUAUAAAAUUUAAUUUUUUAAAUCUUCGUAUCAAAACAAAAUAGAUCAAUCAAAUUGAGACUGAGGAAGUAAUAUUUUUCAUAUAAUUUUUAAACAUCAAACAAUUAAAUAUUAAAUUAAAUUAACUCAAUAUAGCUUUGAAGAUUAAUCAAAUUGACUCACAUGAAUUGAAAUAUGAUUAAUAAAACUGAACGAAGGAAAGUACUUCAUGAAAAUUUGUGUAGAGUUACUUUUUUAAGAUAGUAAAAUAUACAUUUAGCUUCCUUUUUCCGUAUUGUCUUACUUUAAAAAAAAAUACUAGUUAUAAACAUUUUUAAGACAAUUAAAUAUAAGGUUUAACUUAAAUUGAUAUGAAAAAUAAUAUAGUGUUUGUAUCAAGUUAAGUAUAUUACUUCCUUUAGAAAAUAAUAAUAAUAACUUAUUCUUCUUUUUUAAGAAAGCAAAAAAUAUGAGAUUUAGAAAAUAAUAUGUUAUUUAUAUCAGUUUAAGCGUUUUACUUUUUUUUUAUAAAAAAUAAUUAUAAUCAUUUUUUAAGAAAAUAAAAAAUAUAGAAAAAGGCAUAAAUACCCCUUAUUUAUGGUUACACGUUUUCCCAUUAUUUUAGUUCAUUUUACUUUGUUUUCACUUAUUUAGGUUCUGAGUUUGUGACACUUCAAGUUUCAUUAAAUAUUGAACGAAAUAAUUUAAAAAAAAUUGUAUUUGGCUCGAAUUAUCAAUUGAAUUCUUUUUUUCACGAUUUUAUCAAUUAAAUAUUUAAACUUAAUAAAAUGCAAUCUUUUAAAUUCCUUUAACCGUUGAUCAAGCCUAUAUGACAACUUGAUAGUCAAAUUAAAACAACUGUGUGAUUUCACACAUAAAAGGAACAUAGAAUUUUAGACUCAAAAUGCUUAAAACAAAAACAGAAUUAAAAGGAAAUAUAUAUNNNNNNNNNNNNNNNNNNNNNNNNNNNNNNNNNNNUAUAUAUAUAUAUAUAUAUAUAAAGUGAUGGUGUUAUUUAGGAACCAAUAAGUGACUGGACAAAAAGUGUAUAUAAACAGACUAAAGUUUAACAGUGGAAGCUUCAUAAUAGUCCAAAGUUAACAUCCAUUAUCGAGGUUCCUUUUUUCGUUCAUUCGAAAAAAAUAAUAUCCACCCCCACCUCCUAUUCCAAUUCUUUUAAUUUCAAUUUUUCAAGUGUCAUAUUUAAUAUUACAAGAUUAAAAAAUAUUUUAAUAUAUUUAAUAUAUCUUUCAUUUAAAAUAUAAGAUUCAAAACACUUAAGGCAUGUUUGAAAAGUCACUCUAGAUAUUGAAUUUGGUGUAAUUGGGUGUUAUUAUAUUAUCUGUCCUGUUUGAUUGACCAUAUAAUUACCUGGUUACCUGGUCAGCAGGUAAUUGGGUGUAAUUGACAGAGUGUAAUUACACUCUCCAAUUGGGGGGGAGGGGAGGUUGUUUUAGUGUUGUAUGUGAUGGUGUAGUGAAUAUAUUUUAAAUGUUUAGCUUCUUUAUUUUUUGUUAGGUGUGUUGGUGCAUUUGAUAUACUUUAGAUAAUUUAUAUACACCAAAUUUGUUUUAAUAUAUUUAUGAUAUAUGUCGUUGUGGUUAAAUAACUUGAUAGUUUGUAGUGUAUUUGAUUUUUGAUUAGAUUAAGAUAUUGUAACAUCUCGCAAUUUGAAAUAACUAGGAAGAAUCUAAUAAUUGGAAAUAGUCAUUUUGGAAAGAAUGAAAAUCUGGAAAAUUUUGUUAAGUUAGAAUAAGUUGAGUUUUGGUCAACUUCAAACGGCAAUAAAUCCUAGCUCAAGAUGAGUUAGAUGUAUUUUCAGAUAUGGUUGGAAAGCUCUUGGAAUAACCUUUCCAACGCCGCUGAGUUUGCGUGAUUCCGAGUUCGUAUGAGUGAGUUAUGUCUUUUGAAAGUUGGGCUGUUUGAAUAAGGAAAGCCUAUUCCGGAUUUGGUAGGGUAAUUUAGUCUUUUCCUUAUCUAAUUAUUCUAAUUCGUUUUUAGGAGUUAAUUGGGGUAAAAAUCAGAUUUUUGCCAGUUUAGAAAAGUUGAAGUUUCACGCUAGGGCUUGGAGAAAAGAGAAAAAAAGAGAAAGGAGAAGAGGAAAAGCUAGAUUCGCCAAGAACGAUAGAUUUUGGUUGUGGAUUUCGCCAAAGAAUUGAUCCUACAAGGUAUGUGAGUCUUUCAUAGCGUUGGGUUCAUUCACCCACGCGCCAAGCAUGUUUAUUUCAGCGAAAUUAGUCCUAAAAGAGUUUGAAAGUUAAUGUUCUUGAUAGGUAUUCUUGAAUUUGAAUGUUGUUCUUGAAUUAGGCUGAAUUGAGGAGUUUCUGAGAUCUUUACGUUGAGUUUUAGAGUUGUUUUGAGUUAGGUUCUUGAGUACAUAUGUUGGGUAUCUGAAUGUAAAAUGAAUUUGAGAACAAUAGUCGAGUUUAGGCGAAUUGAGGCUGGAAAAUGAAGAAGGAAAAAGUCAGACAAGGAAAAGGUUCCAGGUCCGCGAUGUGGACCUGUUCCUUCAGGAUGAAAAUUUUCUCUUCGCGUAGUGGAGAAGACGCAGACUCCUCUGUUUCAAAAUUAAAUUUCGCGAUCAAUUAUUUAAAAGCAUCUCCGCGUCACGGACUUGUUCCAAAACGGUGAUUUCUGGAUCGUUUCUCAUGUUUAGCUAUCUAAAAUCAUUCCUAAACAUCAUGAGAUCCUUCUUAUCACAAAUCACAAUCCUUGAAUCCAUAAUUCAAUUUCAAGGAAAGUUAAGAGUCAAGUCAAGAGAAGUUCAUAAUGUUUUCAAAAGUCUUUUACAAAUGUUUUAACUUUGUUUUAAGACUUGAGUUUUGAGUUGAGUAAAGAGUAAAGAUUGAAGUCAUUUCUUCAAAAGAGUAUAUCGGGACUAUGUAUUCCCAAAGAUUAAAUGUUUUCACAUUUAAACAAGAAAGAAAAUUGAGAUUUCAAAAGGAGCCUUUGUACUAGUUUUAUUUUCAGGUAAAGAGGAAACUUUGAUUUCCAAAAGAGCAUUUGAGCUAGUUUUUCAGUAAAGAGGAAACUGAGAUUUCCAAAAGAGUUUUUAAGCUAAGUUUUGAGUAAUUAUCUCAAACCAAAGAAAGAGUUUUGUUUUUACAAACAUAUGAGCUAAAUUAUAUUUUGGGAGUAGUAUUAAGCACCGAUAUGGGGACGAGCUUGAGUUCAAAUAACUUACGUCUCCAUAAACCAUGUAGCCAUCAUGGGUAGUAAAUGAUCAUACUUUUUAGAUGACUCCUUAAGAUGCUUUUAGCAUAAGCUAGUGGAUCCACUAAGUUAAGCGUCCUAUAUGACGGCAAAGUAUAGGACAGUUCUGACAGCGUGGGCAAGACGUUGUAUCACCACUUAGACUCAUAGUGGUGGUUGUCGAUUUGAGAAACUCCCACAUAAACUGUAUUACUUUGUUAUAUGAGUAAAGUUGAGUUUGUUAUUGCAUUUUCUGUAACGAACUAAGUUGUUUUUACUAUUUUAUAAAGCUUUUCAUAUAUUGCAUGUGUUUCAUUGCUUUAUUAUGAGUUGAGUUAUUCGUGAGUUGAGAAGAGCCAAGGUAAGUGUUUCUUUCAAAAUCUUUUCAAGUCUAUGUUAUGUUUAGCAUUCCAACUCGCAUACUCGUACAUUCAAUGUACUGAUGCCAUUUGGCCUGUAUCGUAUUAUGAUGCAGACGCAGGUAACCAGGAUCAGCAUCCAGCGCCUCGUUGAUCAGGUUCAGCACUCAGAGUCUGUUGGUGAGCCUCCUUGCAUUUUCGAGGACUCCUUUUACUUUACUUUCAAUAUUUUUAUUGUUAGGAUGAUUGGGGGUCUUGUUCUGACAUCCCUCAUUGUUUUAGUUGUUCAGUUGUCUUUACAUUAUCAUUCAAAUGUUGUUUAAAGACUUCAGUUGCCGUUUUGGCUAAGUUUUAUAUCUCUUUAAAGUUAUGUUUUGUAGGUUAUUUUGUUAAGUUAAGUCUUCCGCUGAGUAAGUAAGUCAGGCCAAGGGUUCGCUUGAGGCCAGCAAUGAUUCUCGAGUGCCAGACACGUCCGGGGUGUAGGCUCGGGACGUGACAGAUAUAUACAUUGAAAGGUUAAAAUAAUUAUGUUGUCUAAAUUACUUAUUAGUUUAUGUUGGUGUAUUUCAUACCAAAAUAACAACCAACCUGCAGUUAUACUAUCUUAAUAGUUAAAGCCACUUUUUAUAGCAACAUGAUUAUCAUCUUAAUAUAAAUACACCAUACACUAUACCAAAGAAUAAACCACCCAUUUAUACUGAAUUAAAUUGAAAACACCAUUUUGUUAUAUAUUUAUAUAUAACAAAAUGGUGGUGUAUGUCAUCCAUUAUAUAUCAGAUUGAAAUGCAUACCAAAUUUUCACCACAAUGUACACCUUAAUAAAAUUGCAAUUGUGAAAAAAUUUAUAAAUAAUUGAUUAUAUUCCGAUUGUUACAUAUUAAUAUACGUUUGAAUGUUUCUAACUAUUUAUGAAAUUAUGCCGAAGGAAUGUAUGUGAAUUUCAAGGUUGCAAGAGUGAUAUAUGAAGUAACGAUCAUGAUAUGACUAAUUGCUUCCCAAUUAAGAGUCGAAACAACAAUAUUUGAGAUGAUAAUCAAAUGUGUUGUGCUAAGAAAAAAAUUGAUACAUAAUUAAUUAAAUUAUAGUGUAAAUCAUUCUAGUGUUGGGACAUAUACAAAAUAUCAAUUUUACAACGCAUUCUAAACCAUUUAAAUAUAUAGUUAAUCAUUGUAAUGGCAUAAUAUAUAGUGAACAUCAACGUUAUACCAUAAUGUACACCAUUAUGGAGAAUCAACUUAUAUACUAAUAAAACUGUCUUGACAAAUAAAAAAAUAUAUUGAAACCAGAUUGUAUAUCAAUUAAUACCACAAUUUUUAUUUUUAUUCUUAUAAUAUUAACUAAAAAAAUUAUAUUACCGGUAUACGAAUUAGUCUGCAUAAAUAAUUAUUAGGGUAUGCAAAUAUUUUUUUUACGUUGGUAUUUCAUAUAAUGAAAUAUAAAUUGGUAUUUCUUUAAAAAGGAAUUGAAAUCGAAUUGGAGGGCGAGAAAAAAUUGAAGAGUAAUUUGUAUCAAAUAAGGAUUGUGUUUAAUGGUAGAACUCCUAAAAAAAAUUCUUUAAAUAAAGAAUCAUAUGAAAUUACAAUUGUUAUUGAGAAUCCCAAAAGUACAUGUACAUAAUAAAUUAUGAGUCCCACACUAUUAGAACACUAACCCAAAAAAUAGCAACAAAAAAUGUGUAUUAUUGUCGAAAUUAGUUCUUUGCAGUGUUGAAGCUAAAAGGUAUUAUAGUCAAAACGUUGGUUUUGACUAUGGUAACUUUUAGAUAUAAAUUUUUUUGUAAAAAUUUCAACAGAAUCUGUAUAAAAUGAUAUAUAUUAAUAUUAAGGUAUUUUAUUGGAUUCAAAUAUGGAGUGAUACUCUUGCUAAAUUGGUUGGCUGAACACCAACUUCAAACCAUAAUUUAUAUUUGUACGAAAACAAUGUAAACGAGUGAGAAAAGGCUAUAAUUAAUAAUUUGAUUUGAUUGAAUAAAAAAUUAAGAAAGAGAAAAUUAAUAUAUGGGCAAAAAAUUAAUAUAAAAGAGUAUAUUUAUUGUUGAAAAGCCAAAAAGUAAAUAAUAUUUAUCAAUCUCAUAAAUUUAGAUCAUAACACCCCCCCCCCACCCCCCCAAAAAAAAGAAAAGGAAAUAAAUCGAUACUAAAAUAUAUAUUAAAAAAUCGAAAAUUCAAUAUAUGGGCAAAAAAAUAAUAUAAAAGAGUAAUUGUAAAUAAAAAAGUAAAAAAUAAUUNNNNNNNNNNNNNNNNNNNNNNNNNNNNNNNNNNNNNNNNNNNNNNNNNNNNNNNNNNNNNNNNNNNNNNNNNNNNNNNNNNNNNNNNNNNNNNNNNNNNNNNNNNNNNNNNNNNNNNNNNNNNNNNNNNNNNNNNNNNNNAAAGAAAUAAAUCGAAUACUAAAAUAUAUAAAUAAAAAACAAAAAUUAAAAAUUAUGUCAUAUUCGUAAUUAAAAACCUAGCUUUGUAAAUAAGAAGUAUAUGCAUAUAUUAUUAAUUAAUGCAUAUUAUUAAUUGAGGUCUUAAAUAGUAUAUUCUUGUAAUUUUUUCUUUGCAAAAAUAGCUUUUAUUUUUUAUUUUUACUAAGAAAAUCAUUAUUUAAGAUUUAUUUUGGGCACAAAUAACAAAUGUCCGCAUUUAAUUUCACACUUAUAUCAUUGCGAAUGUAACACAUACACAUAUUAUAUUUUGAUUGUAAAAAAAAGAGUCAAAAUAACACAUUGGAGCCCUAUAUAAGGUGGUGUUGGCACCCAAUUUUGACCAUCCACAAAAUAUAUUAAUCAUCGAGCUUCUUAAAUUCAAUACGAUUUGAAAUAAUUAACUUUAUAAAAUUCAAAAUAUUUUUCAAGUUAUUGUCCUUUUUUUAAUAUAAUUUUAAAAUAAUAUACAUGUUUUAUAUAAUUUUGUAUAUAAUUAGUAUAGUUCAUGAAUAUUCGAAAAUUGUCUCAAAAAUAUUUUGUUUUAAUUAAAUAUUUGGUUAAUUAGUUUAGUUAUAUAAUAGUCAUAUUUUUAAAUCAUGUAGUUUAAAAUUAAGUUGACUAUUUUAUCUCGUUAAGGUUAGGAAGCUCGUUAAUUAAUUAAUUUUAAUUUGUCUCAUUUAGACUUUAGCCAAAUUUAUUAAUUUAACUCAAUUUGGUUAACUUCUUAACUUAAGAUGACUAAUUUACAAAUCGUGUGGCUAUUUUCUUAAUUCAAAUUGACCAUAUUCUUUGAUUUAUUUUCAAGACCCCAAAUUCACACCAAUACCCAAAAGACCCAAUUCAACAAUUCAAUUCCUAACCCAAACCCACUCUUAAAUUUCUACAACUAUAUCAGCAACCCAUUUUUCCCUUGAAAAAACACAGUCCGUUUUUCCGUUGAAGAAACCCAUUCCAUAAACCCAUACAACAACGAUCAGCAGAGCAAUACCAAAUACCCAACCCCUGAUACUCUUCUUUUUCGCGAGCAGCAGCGAGACCGAAACCCAGCAACUCGAUGAACAAGUACAGAACAUAGUCCAACAAGUCGCGAGCGAGCCCAGCAGCCCACUCUCCGUGCGUGUCCGUCCUCUCCCAGUCUUAUUCUUAUCUUUCCCGUACGCAAAUCGUACUCGAAUAAGCCAAGUGGAGCGAUUUCACGCCUCAUUUGUCCUUUGCUCGAAAUCGGACGGAUACCAUUCUCAUUUCGUUGAGAAUUGUACUAUUUCCAACUGUUCGACCUUGGAAUUCAAAUUUCAAAUUUUGGAAAUUCUAUCCUAUAUUCCAUCCGUUUGCCUCUAUUUUCAGUCUAAAUUUUCUUCUAUAUAAAUCCACUACCCCUUCAGUUUAGGGUUAAAAAAGAGUGUUAGAAAAAGUUAGCAAAAAUAAAAAACCUACAACAGGAGAACAACUUAUAAGAUUUUAGAUACAAAGUAGAGAGCAUAUACAAAAUACGCUCAAAGCAAGAAAAGGGGCUAGUUUCGAUUCUUGGUUUUCAUUCCUCUAGUUGUUCAUCACUCUCCAGAAUCUGUUGAGACUUGAAGUCGGUGGUGAAGUCAUUAUUAAACUCGAUUUUCCCAGUCGCAACCCAGAAGAAUGUAAUAAUUUUUCCCUUGCAAUACUCUCUUCAUCUUUUCCGUUCCAGUAUGAUGUUAAGAGUUGUGGUGUUGCUGUUUUUGAGUUUUUAUGUGUCUUGAUACUAUUUCUAUCUUCAAGUGAUCUCAAUGCUUACUUUUAGUGUUGAUUCAAAUUUUUGCCGUUUUACAUUUAAUGUGGUUGUUUCUCUGCUUUUUCGUUUGAGUUUGUUUCGAUGCUCCUCAUCUCGAAUCUGUUUCACCUGAAUGUUGUUGAACUUUCUUGCUUAUAUCCAUGUUUUGACUCUUCCGAGUGUCAAUUUCGUAUUUCACUUUGUUAAUCUUAACAUCUCUUCAGCUUCCUCUAUGAUGUAGGUUGCCAGUGUAAAUUUAAUAAGUUAGGCAGUGCGACUGUGAGCUAGCUCUCUCGUAUGUUUUUAUUGUUUUUAUCUCUAAUGAUUGUUAAAGGUCUCAGGUUGAUUGGUUUUGGGCAUUUCAGUCCUUAAAAUUCUCUAUUUGUUGUUAUGCGUUUUUCAUAUACUUGUUCAAGCAUUCUGUUGGAAAGUGGAAUUAGUCAAUUGUAUAUUCCUUACCAUUUUUUCUUGUCAAUUUGAGCCUUUUGAAAUGAUCAGUUGUCGUCAAGUUCUGAGUCGUCGUGUUAUUGUAUGUUUCAAUUCGUUUGGACCUUACUGCUGAAAACAUGCUUACUUUAGUUUGUUAUAUACAUUAUGAGAUUUUGUAUGAGCAUAUGUCAUGAAUAGCAAGUUUGAUUAAUUUAGAUGUUCGUAGCCUAGCAAAUGUGUGCGAAGUUGGUCUUUUUGUUUAAGCUCUCUGAAAUAGAGUCUUUGUUUUUAUUUGGGUGGUUUAUUUUUGCUUUCAAAAAGUACUUUCCUUUAAGUUGAAUUGUCUAAUCAUUGUUGUAUUUAAUGUUCAGCUGCCUUGAGAUGGAUUUUUAUAUCAAUCUGAUUUUAGAAUGUGAUUCCCUUUUGGUCAUUACCUAAUUAAUAGCUCAUUGUUGAAACCACCCCUACUGUUUUGUGUUUUAUGUUUUAUUUCAUAUGAGUUAUACGCGUAUUAGAUAGCAUACUGAUCUUUUAUCUCUUCCUAUGCUGCAUGUGACAUCUAUUAUGACCCCUCAUGGACUCUUUCAAUCGACAUGUGCAUUGAUGAGUUCUGGGCAAAAUUCAGAAAUUCUCGAGUAAGCCUUCAUUCUUAUUUGGAUUAUCCAAAUCGAAGUACAGGGCUGGAAAAAUAGAAAUUACAGGUCCCGAGAACUGAAAAUGCGCUGAUAUACAGCGUGAUACAGUCGAUAUACAACAGUUGUAUACGCUGUAAAAAAAAGAGAAAUGGAUCCAAAGCCUCUUAAAAUUUCAAUUUUGUAUUGUGUUGUAAUUGGGUCAAAGGCCUAUUUAUUUUUGGUAUUAUUUUCUAGUUAUAGGACAGGUGGAGAUUGGGCCAAAAGCUCAGAAGAAAGUUUGUUUUUUAUGUUAUCUUCGGACAGGUACAAUGUGUUGGGCUAAGAAUCCCAAAUCAAAAUUAGUCCAAAGUACUGGCUCAGGCGGACAGAAAACCAGACUUGGGCCCAAAACUCACUCUCUUUAUUAUAUUUCGUAUUUGUUUAAUUGUUUAUUUGCUAGUCAAUUUUAAGGUUUUCCUAAUUUCAUUUCCCCAAAAGAUAGUCAUUUUGAGAUUUUCUAAAGACUAAUAAUUUUACUUAUUUUCCUCCUUAAGUUACUUUGAAAUAUUUUACUUAGGUAAUAUCACAAUAUUCCCCUUUUCCCUUUAAAAUGAUUUGAAGUCUAUAAUUUGUCUAUUUCCUAAACAUGUCAAACAUGCUUAGUUCGUGUCUUUAAAUAAAUUAGUCAAAUAGUUAAUUAUCGAAUAACUGCGUGUUAGCGGACAUUUCGAUUGCUUUCAAACUCUUUCCGAAAUGCUAAUAUGAACCCUGAACCCUUUAAAUUUUUUCAAUUGAUUUCUGUUUUAAUCUUUUGAAAAAAUAGUUUUCUUAGUUUUUCUUUAAAAAUUAAGUGGUGACUCUUAUUAACCAGUCGUUUUCUCUUAUUAAUUUCUCUAAAAAAUUAAGUGGUGACUCUGCUGGGGAUUUGAAUUUGGUUCUAACCUUAAAAAUUAAUUUGUUUGGCUAAAUGUUUGUUGUUUAUUUGCUUAUUUAUUUAAUUUUCUGUAUUAUUAAACUGCUGCAUUCAUAGCAUGACAUAUUUUCCGUCAAACGACACUUUCUUUUAUUUUUCACUUAAAGGACGACUAUGUUGGCCGUAGUCGUUCGUUAACCAUUUUUUUCUUGGGGAACCCUGACGAAUGUAGUUGGCUACUGGAUAGUCAAUGGUCGUUAAUUGUCCCAGCUCAAGUAGUGCGUUUGGGUCACCUAUUCAUUUUUAAAUAAAGCCACUCUUAGUCAAACUUGUGUAGAGCAAGACUCAAUCUCGAAAUUUAGUGCAUUUUGUACUAAGUUGACCCAACAUCGAAGGCGUGUUGGGCUCAUUUGAGAGACCACCUUGAGUCCAAAACAGCCCACGGCCUAAAUAGACGAUCAUACUUAUAUGUUUAAAUUUGAAGAAUGUAUACGUCUUGGGCAAACCAUUGUCCCUCGGGGUUGAGAGUUUAGCGUACUUUAGUUAGAUGAAGGUCUUCAUGAGUUAUCAUUGCAUCCAAAGAUGUGGAUAUAUGUAGAUGACGAGGAGUUCAAGAAUGAAGGAUUUUCCAUGGAGGCAUAGUUUAGGAUGGUACUCAUGUGUAAGACUGAUUAUUUAUCCUUUCCCCCUAUUAUAUAUUCCUAUUCAGUUUAUUCAUAAAACUUGUAUAAAUUUGGGUUUUGGGGCAAUAGAAUGUUUCAAAUGGCGUUAUACAUUCUUCAAAUCGUUAGGUCUACCAUUGGCAUAAAAAGGUCACAUAUUUGUUUAGAGCGCGCAAUAUCUAUUUAUGUGUUAUAACUGCUUGUAUGCAUAUGUUGCUUUAUUUGGAGAUGUUCUAGCCUACUCAUUCUCGAGAAAAAUAUAUUUUCUAGAACUCUUUAAGCCCAAAUAUCAAGUCAAUAUUAAAAGUGCGCUCAAAUACUCUUCGAGUCUUUAAUUUCCCACCAAAAUUCGAAUUUCAUUUUUCAAAUCUCUCUUUCUCAUCUGAGAAAAGGUUAACCCUUUAUCUCAAAUCGAAAAGAGAUUCAAGUGGGUCGAACUACUAGGACCUAAAUUCUCCUCCGUGAGAUACGUAGGCAACUCUUCAAGGCUCGGUCCCCAUUUUUGAGAAAUUCUAUCUUUUCCAACUUUUACAAAGAAAUUAGAGUUACAUCUCAAUCAAAUAUCAGAAGUACGACAACAAAAGAUACAAUCGACUUUGUCUUGACUCGAGUCGACUUUUCCGAUUCACCAAGCUCAAAAUCAAAUAGACAAAUUACUGUAUAUUUAGUCAUUUCUCUAUAUCUGUGGGUUAGUUUAUCUUCAAAUGAAGCAACUUUUAAGUUUUUACAGUAAUGUGUGUGAUGUUUUGUAUUAUUUAUCAUCGACAAAGAUCAACACAUUUGUCUUUGAGUUAUUUUUCUUUGUCAAGUACUCAAAACUGAUAUGUGUUGAGAAAAUGACUAAACAUCCAUACUUCACAAGGUUCAAAGACCCCAAAGAUUCCUUCUCCGACCAAUGUUUGUCAAAAGGCAAAGAGAAAAUGGUUGAAACUAUUGAGAAUACUGAUUUGAAUAAAAUUAUUGUGAAUGAUCCUAUCAUUGCUGAACAGAACAAGUUGAUUGGACAAUUAUUCCAACAGAUUGCUGAAAUAGAUAAGACCCGAGAAUUGACAAAUCUAGCUUUCAUUGCCAACACUCCUACUCCAGACAGCGAAAGGCCUCCACUCCAUUUUCCUACUUCGGAUCCAACAUCCGAACGUUUUCCAAACAAUUCAACCACCGCUACCAUUCCAAAACCUCCUCUCAUCAACCUAACCACCCCUAACCCACAUCAUGCUAGCUCCUCACACCAAAAGUUACCUACUCCUCAUAAUCCAAAUACUAACGUUUUCCAGAAAUUUCAUCUGAUCCAUCAAACCCCUACUCAAAUUGUCCAAAACCCACCUACCACUUAACCCAUACCUCUAAAAAUCGCAUUUCAUCUUCCAAUAUCGCUAGAAUCAUACCCUUCAUCUGCUACGCAUGUUGAACUCGAACAAUAUCAGAAGAGGGAGAAGGAGUGGAAGGUCAUAAAAGGAAAGGCUGAGCAAAGCAUCAGAGGGGAAGUUAUGAAUGCAAUGAAGGACUUUCAAUACAGCCAUACAUUGUGAGGUUGAAUUAUGAAGAUUUGUGUCGUCAUCCACAUUUGGAGCUUCCAGAAGGUUUUAAAGUACCAAAGUUUGAUACAUUUAGUGGAGUUGAGAAUCCUUUGACUCAGUUGAGGGCUUAUUGUGAUCAACUCAUUGGAGUUGGGAAAGAUGAGGUUUUGUUGAUGCGACUCUUUAGUCAAAAUCUAAAAUGAGAAGCAUUGGAAUGGUUUAUUUCUAAAGAAAUCAAGCAAUGGCCAAGUUGGAACGCUUUGGCGAAAAACUUCAUUGAAUGGUUUGGCUACAAUGUAGAAUUCAUUCCUGAUCGAUACUCUUUGGAGAGAAUCAAACAGAAUUCUACUGAAAGCUAUCGAGAGUAUGCCUACUGUUGAAGAAGAGAGGCUGCAAGGGUUAGGCCUCCCAUGAUCGAGAAAGAAAUUAUUGAAGUCUUUGUGCGCAUUCAAGAGCCGGAGUACUACAAUAGGAUGUUGCUCAUUUUAGGAGGGAAGUUCAGUGAAAUAGUUAAAAUUGGUGAAACUAUUGAAGGCGGUCUCAAGACUGGCAAAAUCAUCUGAAUGACUCCUCGAGAUGAAUCCUCAAGACCAUUGAGGAGGAAGAGGGAAGAUGUUUCCUCUAUCUCAUUUGAAUCGAGCCAAAAAUCAAAGAGGCAUGCUAGUGUUAAUGUUCGAAAGCCUUUACCAUCCAAAACUUACCCUUUAGCUCCACAAAAUCCUUACCCCAUCAAACUAAAUUACCAAACUCCACCACCAAAUAAUCAAAAUUACCAAGCUGCAUUGCCAAAUUACCCAAAUGCCCUUCAUAGCCACCAAGCUCCACAAUACCAAAAUUUCCAAACACCAGCACCUACUCGCCAAAAUCCUCCUAGUUAUCGCCAAGUACCUCCAUCUUCACGAAAUAAUUACAAUCUUACUUGUCAGGAGUUUUUGAAGAAACCUUCUCGAGUUUUUACUCCUUUGGUUAAAAGUCGAACCCAAUUCUUUGAGAGAUUGAAAAUGGCUGGUCUAAUACAAAUAAUUGAUCCAAAAAAUGUAAAUGUCAAUUCCAGACUUUACAGGUCCGAUCUUCAUUGUGCUUACCAUUCAGGGGGUGCUGGACAUACCACUGAAGAUUGCAUAAACUUGAAGCAUAAAAUUCAAGACUUAAUUGAUCAAAGAAUUGUCACUCUUCAAGCUGUCAAUUUUAAUGCCAAUGGUAAUUCACUGAUGAAUCGUGGAGGAUUCGCUAUUAACAUGAUUGACCCAAAGUUUCAAUCACCUCCCCGUCAAAACUCCCCAAAUUAUUGUCAAAUGCCUCCCCCUCAGCAAGGCAGUUAUGAUUCCCCUCGUCCAUGUCUUGAGAAGAAACCUGCUCCAAAUUGUACUCCUCUCCUUGAAAGUCGGACGAAGUUGUUUGAGCAAUUGAGUGCAACAGGUAUUAUUCAUCCGAUCAAUCCUAAGCCAGUCACUACUAGAUCAAGAUUUUACCGAGCCGAUCAAAGGUGUGCGUAUCAUUUCAACAGUGUUGGGCAUGAUACUGAAGACUGUAUUGAUUUGAAACACAUGAUCCAGGACUUUAUCGAUCAGAAAGUGAUCAGGACCGCUGUACCCAACAUCAACAGUAAUCCUCUAUUGAAUUAUAGAGGCACCAAUAUCAAUACGAUAGAGACGUAGAAUGGGUGAUGCAUGGCAAAGACGAAAGUUUCGGCUGGUCCUAACAACCUUGAGAAAGUUGUAGCUUCUCCGAGCAUAAGUGAGAAACUCAAUUUUACGGUUAUGACACACCAUCAAGCUUUUACUUUGGUGUCAAGAGAGGUUAAGAACAGAAAGGGGAUUAAUCAUAUUCCACCAAAGUCUUUGCCUCAUUUAUGUCAGUCCUUUCUGGUAGAGGCAUAUGCCAAUGAGGACGGUCUUGGAGAAGGAAUUAGGAAUAUUUGUGAAGAAGGUGAUAUUGCGCCCAAGAAGAUGAUCGAGACACCAGGCAUACGAGACGCUGAGCCAAUGGAGCAAGUUCUUAAUUGGACUUCUACUCUGCUCUUGAUUCCUCGCUUAUCUUGAUAGACAAAGAUGAAUCUUAUGUUGUUUUUAAAAUCGGUGGUAGUCCGAAAGAAGCCCGAGACCCACCCUUUAUGCAAUUUUACUUGUUUAAGUUUUAAUUUUCCUCGUGAUGUUUUGAAAAAGGCAAAAUGUCUCAUGGUCAUGGCCAAAGUUCGUAUUUACUUAUUUUCAAUGAAAGCCUCUUCUAUUGCGAAAAUUUGGUUUGCUUACUUUAAUUUUUCUAUCUAACAGUCUUUGUUUUUUUAUUUUCAAUAAAAAUAAUUUAUAAACCUGUCAAUAUCAUGUCAUGUCACAAGCUGAAUGAACAAAAUGAGGUAGAUGAAGAUGAGUUUGAAGGGUAUGACGAGGAGAUCAUGAUAUUCGACCAUCUUGUCUAAGAUUUGAACCAAUUCGAGAUUUAAGAUAAGUCGAAUAUGGAUGAGACAGAAACUGUAAAUGUAGAAAAGGAUGACUAUGUCAAAGAAGCCAGAAUCAGGGUCCAUCUAAAAGAAGCUCGGUAAUAGAUCUCGACAGUUUACUUAGAAAAUACAUCGAUGCAUUUGUUUGAUCAUAUGUCGUGGUUACAUAGACAUUCACCUCAAGUAGUGAAUUGACGCAUAUGCUAUAAAGAGCUAUAAUAUUUGAAGAUUCAGAGUUUCUUUUAUUUCUUUCCCUGUAAUCGUAUCAUUUGUUUGUAAUCGUCUUAUGUUUUAAAGUUAGAAAAUUAUCAACGUCUAAGAUUUGAACAACGUCUGACCUGAGUUCUCAAGAAUGAGAUAUGUAGGCGGCCUAUAUCGGCCUCGGUCACCCUUUAUCCCUUUUAAUGUUUCUUCAUUUGUAUUUGAACUACAUUUCACCUGAAUUCUCAAGAAUGAGAUACGUAGGCGGCCUAUGUCGGCCUCGGUCGAUUCCUUAGUCAAAAUUUCCUAUUUUUUGUUAAUCCUCUAUUGGGGAACUACAUUUGACCUGAUUCCUGCCUCAACGGGAUACGUAGGCACCACAACGGCUCGGUCAUAUCUCCCAUAAGGUUUCUAUUUUUUCUUUACAAUAGAAACUGGGAUAUAAUUUUUGAGAGAGACUCAAAAAUUCUCAAGAAGAGCAUUUCUACAACAAGUCAAGACUAAAGAUACAUUGCAAGUUGCAACUAGGACAAAACUUUUGAGAGGGUCUCAAAAAUUCUACAAGUCAUAUAUCAACAGUUCGAGUUACUCCAAGACAUCUAACUGGGACAGAAAUUUUUGAGGAAGGCCUCAAAAAUUUAUUCAAGCAUCACCAGAAGUUUGUAGUUAAUUUUGAACAUUUAGAGCAUGAUUAGAAGUUUAGAGCUAACUGCAAUUGACCUCUGGCAUCAUUAUAGUUCAUAGUCAACUUCAACAAUCUCCGGCACCGUUGAAGUUUAGCGUCAACUGCAAAAAAUUUUGAUUAUAGUGAAUUUCAGCAGGACCAUAUCAAAGAUUUUCAAAACUUUAAGGAUCUUUGAAUUCUCCAAAACAAGCUAUCGGACACGCCAAAGUUUCGAACCAAUGACGUUCAUUUAAGUUAUGCAUGGCAUGAGAUUUGACAGUGACUUUUUUCCAAUUUGAUUCUCGAAAAUGUCUUUUUUCUUAAAUAUGUCAAAUAUUUUGUAUAAUUUCAUCUUAUGACUAUCGAGAAGCAAGAGAUCGGAGUGAUCAACCGAAGAUAGAAGGACAAGAAGCAAGCGAUUGAAGAACUCAACACAGAUCCGUUUGUUUUAAAAACUAACAAUUAUUCUGUGGAUGCAGGUCUAUAAGUUUGCCUCAAGUUCAUCAUAUUCCUCCAUUCAAUGAAUAUGCAGAAGUCAAAUGAUGAGAAACUCCCCAAAAUUGAUAAUUUUUAUGUGGAUAAACGAAAGUCAUUGAAGUUUUUCAGAAGACCAAAAAAAGAAACUGUUCAGAAUACGAGCAAUAAAACCUCGUUCAAAUUUCCAGCAAAGCAUGAGUCACAAUGAGUACAAAUGUUCAAAUAUGAGCAAGUGAAAGCAUCGCUCUCAAGAUGCACAAACAUCUACCAUGACAUCAAAUUACAUUUCCAGCAUCAAGAACAUUUGAAGAAUAUUCACAAAUUGCAUCGAUAUCAGACGCGGUAAUGUGAAUUACCCAGAGGAGCAUUUCUACAAUAUUAUCAAAUGAGAUAAUACGACCACCCAUAGGGACAUUUCUAUAGUAUUAUCAAAUGAGAUAGUACCACCACCCAAAAGGACAUCAUCGUCAUUUCAUCGUCAUUUUAUCGAUGGAAUAUCAUCAUCCUGCCAAUGGAUCAACAUAAUCCUACCAAUGGAUCAUCAAUGAAGAAUCAUCAUCCUAUCAAUGGAGUAUCAACGUCAUCCUGCCAAUGGAUUAACAUAAUCCUACAAAUGGAUCAUCAAUGGAAUCACUAUCCUAUCAAUGGAGCAUCAACGUCAUCCUAUCAAUGGAUCAACAUAAUCCUACCAAUGGAUCAUCAAUGAAGAAUCAUCAUCCUAUCAAUGGAGCAUCAACAUCAUCCUACCAAUGGAUCAUCAAUAAAGAAUCAUCAUCUUAUCAAUGAAGCAUCGUCAUCCACAUCAUAUCAAGUCAUCAUUUACCGCGUCAAAACCGAUGGAGGCUGACGUCAGAACAUUUAUAGAAAAGAACAUGUGUCGAAUAUUGUAAAACACAUCACUUCUCUAUUUAAAUUACAGUUUCUGCUAACAAGUUUAUUUCAUUUUUUGUCGAGAGCAUCCAAGAGGAUGAAUUCUCAAAUCAAACCACAGGUGGAGGCGACAUCAGAAAAGAUGCAGCACAACGUGAAAUUUUUUUUCUUAGCGCGAGCUAAGAAACGAAUAUCAUCGAGCCAUCCACCUCAUUACAAUUGGAUAAUCAUUGAGCCAUCUAGCUCAUUGCAGAGAUUACUAGAGUUUGCCAUGAAGAAAACAAGCAAUGACAUCUCCAAAUCCGCAACAAAUCAUGAGUUGUAAUGGACAUACUGUGUUCGAAAGCAGUAUCCAUUAUCUUUUACUCUCAAUACUUCUUUAUUUUCUCAUCUAGUUGAAAAAUAAAUUUAUGCUUAUUCAUAAAUAUAUACUCAUUUGUUAUAUGAAUGAUCUUUCUUUAUUUUUGACUCAAACUGCUAGCUAGAGCGGCAUAAUGUCUAUUAAUUAUUUACUUGAGUGUGCAGAAAUAUACUGAACACACUUAUGUGACAUCUUUCACAGCAAGAGUAACUGAAAUGCAUCGUAAGAGAUGCUACUAAUUUUUUCAGUUACAGUUUCUACUAACAAAUUUAUUUCAGUCUUUGUCAAGAGCAUCCAAAAGGAUGAAUUCUCAAAUCAAACUACAGAUGCGGACGACAUCAACAAGGAUGCAGUACGUGGAACUUUUUUUUAGCAGUGAACUAGGACAUGGUCCAAAGAGGAGUGCCAAACUCUUAGGACGCGAGCUGAAGAGCGACUUCCAUUACAAUCAAACCACACCCCUAUAAGAAGGCAUGUGGGCUUUUCUUAGGUUUAUCAAUUUUAGUUUUGCAUCCGGAAAAUUUUGGUUUCCACCGGAAGCAGCCUUCCAAUCCAAGUGACAAUACACCAAGAGCUUUGGAAGUUAUGUCCGUGUAAGUUCUUACUUAUUGGUGUGAAGUGCACAACAUUCAUGGUUAAGACAUUUGCAAGCCUCUUUUUCAUAACUCGACUUAUUUGUUACUCUUCCAGAACCAAAGGUUAUCUUGCAUAAUAAAUUACCUUUUCAAUCGAUUGAGUUGAACUACAAACAGCCUGAUUCCUUGAGUUGAGGGAUAUGUAGGCGGGAUCAGUUUUGAAAACUCAAUUGUAUUCCAACACUCGUUCCUAAAUCUUAUUGCCAAGCGUCCUUGUUUCUUCAUAAUUCGAUAUUAGGAUAACUUUUGAAUUCUUUCAGAAUAGUGCGUGAAAUCAACCUUAUCGAACUACACGUGGCCUGAAUUCUCAUGUAGCCUGAGAUAUGUAGAAAACCCAUUUCUUGGGUUUGGCCAUAAUUCCCAAAUUCCGUACCAAAGUUCAUUUUCUGAAAAGAUAAAGAAGUGGUUGGUCAAAAUUGGAUUCGUCAAUUUCAUUUGCCUCAGAUUUCUUUCAUCAAUCCAAGUCAAACGAGGGAUAGCUGUUGACACCCAAUUUUGACCAUCCACAAAAUAUAUUAGUCAUCGAGCUUCUUAAAUUCAAUAGGAUUUGAAAUUCAAUACGCUCAAAGCAGGAAAAGAGGCUAGUUUCGAUUCUUGGUUUUCAUUCCUUUAGUCGUUCAUCACUCUCCAGAAUCUAUUGAGACUUGAAGUCGGUGGUGAAGUUGCUAUUAAACUCGCUUGUCCCAGUCGCUACCCAGAAGAAUGUAAUAAUUUUUCCCUUGCAAUACUCUCUUCAUCUUUUCCGUUCCAGUAUGAUGUUAAGAGUUGUGGUGUUACUGUUUUUGAGUUUUUAUGUGUCUUGAUGCUAUUUCUAUCUUCAAGUGAUCUCAAUGCUUACUUUUAGUGUUGAUUCAAAUUUUUGCCGUUUUACAUUUAAUGUGGUUGUUUCUCUGCUUUUUCGUUUGAGUUUGUUUCGAUGCUCCUCAUCUCGAAUCUGUUUCACCUGAAUGUUGUUGAACUUUCUUGCUUAUAUCCAUGUUUUGACUCUUCCGAGUGUCAAUUUCGUAUUUCACUUUGUUAAUCUUAACAUCUCUUCAGCUUCCUCUAUGAUGUAGGUUGCCAGUGUAAAUUUAAUAAGUUAGGCAGUGCGACUGUGAGCUAGCUCUCUCGUAUGUUUUUAUUGUUUUUAUCUCUAAUGAUUGUUAAAGGUCUCAGGUUGAUUGGUUUUGGGCAUUUCAGUCCUUAAAAUUCUCUGUUUGUUGUUAUGCAUUUUUUAUAUACUUGUUCAAGCAUUCUGUUGGAAAGUGGAAUUAGUCAAUUGUAUAUUCCUUACCAUUUUUUCUUGUCAAUUUGAGCCUUUUGAAAUGAUCAGUUGUCGUCAAGUUCUGAGUCGUCGUGUUAUUGUAUGUUUCAAUUCGUUUGGACCUUACUGCUGAAAACAUGCUUACUUUAGUUUGUUAUAUACAUUAUGAGAUUUUGUAUGAGCAUAUGUCAUGAAUAGCAAGUUUGAUUAAUUUAGAUGUUCGUAGCCUAGCAAAUGUGUGCGAAGUUGGUCUUUUUGUUUAAGCUCUCUGAAAUAGAGUCUUUGUUUUUAUUUGGGUGGUUUAUUUUUGCUUUCAAAAAGUACUUUCCUUUAAGUUGAAUUGUCUAAUCAUUGUUGUAUUUAAUGUUCAGCUGCUAUGAGAUGGAUUUUUAUAUCAAUCUGAUUUUAGAAUGUGAUUCCCUUUUGGUCAUUACCCAAUUAAUAACUCACUGUUGAAACCACCCUACUGUUUUGUGUUUUAUGCUUUAUUUCAUAUGAGUUAUACGCGUAUUAGAUAGCAUACUGAUCUUUUAUCUCUUCCUAUGCUGCAUGUGGCAUCUAUUAUGACCCCUCAUGGACUCUUUCAAUCGCCAUGUGCAUUGAUGAGUUCUGGGCAAAAUUCAGAAAUUUUCGAGUCAGCCUUCAUUCUUAUUUGGAUCAUCAAAAUCGAAGUAUAGGGCUGGAAAUAUAGAAAUUACAGGUCCCGAGAGUUGAAAACGCGUUGAUAUACAGCGUGAUACAGUCGUUAUACAACAGUUGUAUACGCUGUAAAAAAAAAAAAAAGAGAAAUGGCCCCAAAGCCUCUCAAAAUUUUGGUUUUUGUAUUGUAUUGUAAUUGGGUCAAAGGCCCAUUUAUUUUUGGUAUUAUUUGCUAGUUGUAGGACAGGUGGAGAUUGGGCCAAAAGCUCAAAAGAAAGUUAGUUUUUUAUGUUAGCUUGGGACAGGUACAAGGUGUCGGGCUAAGAAUCCCAAAUCAGAAUUAGGCCCAAGUACUGGCUCAGGCAGACAGAAAAUCAGACUUGGGCCCAAAACUCACUGUCUUUAUUUUAUUUCGUAUUUGUUUAAUUGUUUAUUUGCUAGUCAAUUUUAAGGUUUUCCUAAUUCGAUUUCCUCAAAAGAUAGUCAUUUCGAGAUUUUCUAAAGACUAAUAAUUUUACUUAUUUUCCUACUUAAUUCGAUUUCCUCAAAAGAUAGUAAUUUCGAGAUUCUCUUUAAGGAGGUUCAAGCCAACUACGACAUAAUCUACACUGAUUUAGCAGUAUCACUCUUGACUUGUCCCAUCCAAGAUACAACCGCCUAAUAACGUCGUACAACUCAAACAACUCCAGAUCAGUUGAAAAGUCUAAAUCUCCACAUAAGAACACCUUCCUUCAACAUAUAAAUACUCUCUUUUAUAUUGUGAAUAUAGUUGAAGACUUAAAAUAUUUUUCUUUGUCUCAACUCUCUCUUUCACUACACUAAUCUCAAUAUAAACAUCAUAUAGUACUCCUCAUCUUUACCACUCUAUAUUUUUUUUGUAUAUCUUUUCAUCUUUUCACAAAGUAAAACCAUCACUAUUUAUAGGUGAUGAAUUCUUGUUUAUAAUGAAUAGAAAGAUAAUAGGUAGUAAAUACAAGAAUAAAGAGGUAGAAUAAUGGGUGAAAUGAAGAGUUGGUGGUUACUAACAACUAAUGAGAAUAGUUGGUGGUUACAUAAGUUACUAAUAACUAAUGAUCACUUUCUUCUACAAUUGAUAAGAAUAAAGAGACACAAAUAUAAUGUCCACCAAUGGACAUAACAUGAUACAUAAUCUGACAUAUGAUAUAUUUUUAUUAAUAUUAAAAUGUCACACUAACACUUAUACCCCAAAUCCAUUAAUAAAUUAUAUAUCUUCUCUACUCGUAAAAAAGAAAGAUAAAAAGUAGUGGUGGAGCAAGAAUUUUCAAUAAGGGGGUUCAAAAUCUGAAGAAAUAGACACACGAAGUAGCCGAAGGGGGUUCGACAUCUAUUGUAUAUACCUAAAAAAUUAUUUUAACCAUGUAAAAAUAAUAUAAUUUUCCACCAAAGGAGGUUCGGAUGAACCCUCUAAUGAUAAGGUGGCUCCGCCACUGAUAAAAAGUAUAUCUGCUAUCUUGAAGUUAGAUAAAUGGUGAUUUAAAUCCAAGUAGAUGCCAAACCUUUCUUUUUUAAGUGAACGUCGAAAGCUUGAAAAUUGAUCCUACGAUCCUUCUUUCCAAAUCUUUUUUUCUUCUUCUCUGGUUGCUGCCCUAAGAGGAGUUGGUAGAGAUAAAGGGGUCUUUUGCUCCUUUUGGGAAAAUUAAGCGUAUAAGUAAAUAUAUAUUAGUUAGUUAGUUAAUAAAGUUAUAAUUUGCUUUAAUUAUAAUUCGGGAUUUACUUUAGCUAUAAUUACACGACUCAAUUUUUUAAUUUUGUAUAAUUCAAAAUUUAUAUAAUAUAUUUUGUAUAAUUCUAAAUUUGUCUAAUAUAAAGAGAUCUUUUACUCCUCUUUUUUUUUUUUGUUGCGAGAUGGAUCUCUUUUGGGCUUUAGCCCCUCUUUUUUUACCAAAUUAAUUUUUUUUAAUGAUUUGGAAAGGAAAUAAAUAGAUCACUUUCUCUUAUUCUAGCUUCAUUUAAUUAUCUAAAUGCCUUAGGAAUAUAAUUUUUAUGAACAUAAGCCAUGUGUCUGUUUGAAUUGACUUAUUAUAGGAAUAUUUAAGUAAAAAUAAUUGAAUCAUGAUAGAAAUUACAAAGAAAAAAAAAUCGAAUAAUCAUUCUAUGAUGAAAAUAGGAUUGUCAAUUUUUUGUUUAUUUAUUAGAUAUGUAUAAAUUAUACAAAAAUUAGUACAUCAAUAAUUUAUUUCAUACGGAGCCACUUCUUUCAUUACUGAAGCAAAUAAGAGGCAUGCCCAAGACUUUGACGUGUCAAUUGGCACACCUCUUGACAAUGGUCUGGUCCCUACUCCUUUUUUUUUUGCUAUGCAUUUUAUGUCUCAAAGUUCUCUCUUUCUUUCACAGUGGUUGGAGUAAACAAGGAAUUUGAACAACAAAGAAAGAAAAGAAAGAAAAUGGGGAAUAACCCAGAAGAAGAAGAGUUUUUACUGAAUCACUCACAAAAUUCAACAAAGGGUGGUGUAAAAACCAUUCCUUUCAUCAUAGGUAUAUUUGUGUUCUUCUCAUUUUCUUUACUCUUUUCUUCCUAUUUGUUUCAUUGUGUUACAUAGUUGUUUUUAUUUUUGUAGUGAAUGAAUCAUGUGAGAGAGUAGCAAGUUUUGGUUUGCAACCAAAUAUGAUACUCUAUAUAACAAAAUUUUACAACAUGGAUGCUGCUCGUGCUUCAGUUUUGUUGAAUUUAUGGUCAGCACUUUCAAAUGGAUUGGCUAUUUUUGGGGCUUUUAUUUCUGAUUCUUACAUUGGAAGAUUUAGGGCUAUUGCAAUUGGAACUAUCUCCAGUCUUAUUGUAAGUUCACUUAAUCAAUUUGUCUUGUUUAUCUUACCUCUCUUCUGUUAAAAUCGCAAAUUAAAGAUGAUAUAUACAACUUAGAAAACAAAAUGAAAUUAGCACAGCUGCAACUUAUAUACAAAAUUAUACGACUUAUUACUACUGUUUAUCUCAACAGGGAAUGAUUGUUCUAUGGCUCACCGCAAUAUUUCCACAAAUCAGGCCGUUACCCUGCGGUCAGGAUCAACUUGAUUGUAACGCAGCAACAGCACCCCAACUUGCUGUAAUUUUGUCUUCUUUUGGGCUUAUUUCCAUUGGUGCUGGUUUUGUUAGACCUUGUUCAGUAGCAUUUGGUGCUGACCAAUUGGAGAACAAAGAAAAUCCAGAUAACGAAAGAGUUAUGGAUACCUAUUUCAACUGGUUCUAUGCUAGUGUAGGAAUUUCAAUCUCUGUUGCAAUUACUGUAAUUGUUUAUAUACAAGUGCAGUUUGGCUGGCAAGUUGGUUUUGGUGUCCCUGUUUUGCUCAUGGUUUUAGCUGUUUCCAUUUACUUGAUUGGAUCUCCUCUUUAUAUCAAAGCAAAACCUAAAGGGAGUUUGUUCACUGGAUUGUUUCAAGUAGCAGUCGCAGCCUUCAGAAAAAGACAUAUCAAUGUUCAGUUGAAUUAUAGUGAUGACUGCUACUAUAAAGCACCUGAAUCAAAGCUCCUGAAACCAUCUAUUGACUUCAGGUAUACGCGCCUCUAUCUUUUCCUCAAUGGUAUAUAGACAUCUUCAACGUCCAUUCAUGUGCUUACUAGCAUACAAUAUUUUUUUAACUGACUUGUGAUAUUACAUGAAAUUGUCCAAUGCAUUUAGUUAAGCAAAUUAUUAGUGUGUUUAAGGGUCUUUGUUUACCCAUCUCAUACUCAUUUUCGUUUGACCUUUAUUAAAGGAAAUGAAAAGUUCAAAAUAGAUACUUGGAAGGGUGUGUAUAGUACAAUUUUCCCACGUUUGGUUGGUUUGAAGUUUCCAGAAAAUAUUUUUUCUAGGUAAACAAAUAAAGAAAACGUCUUUCCUAAUGGAGGUAAGGAAAACAAGUUACACUUUGUUUGAUUCACUCAUUCGUUGUAUAUUAUAGGUGUUUGAAUAGAGCUUGCAUAAUUGAAGAUCCUCACAUGGACUUGAAACCUGAUGGAAAAGCUUCAGAUCCAUGGAGUCUCUGCUUUGUGGAACAAGUCGAAAUAAUGAAGUGUUUUCUUAGAGUUCUUCCCAUGUGGUCCACCUGUAUUAUGCUUCUUGUGUCGUUCGGUCAGCCACUUUCGAUAUAUCAACUACUGACCAUGGAUAGACACAUUACCCAUCAGUUUGAAAUCCCUGCAGGAUCAUUUGGCAUGAUUACCGUUCUUUCUUUGACAAUCUGGAUUGCUUUUU
rnacentral:lncRNA from 1 species